rnacentral:rRNA from 1 species
CUCGGGAGCCUUCCAUGCAAGUCGAACGGCAGCGGGAAAGUAGCUUGCUACUUUUGCCGGCGAGUGGCGAACGGGUGAGUAAUGUAUCGGAACGUGCCCAGUAGCGGGGGAUAACUACGCGAAAGCGUGGCUAAUACCGCAUACGCCCUACGGGGGAAAGGGGGGGAUCUUAGGACCUCUCACUAUUGGAGCGGCCGAUAUCGGAUUAGCUAGUUGGUGGGGUAAAGGCCUACCAAGGCAACGAUCCGUAGCUGGUUUGAGAGGACGACCAGCCACACUGGGACUGAGACACGGCCCAGACUCCUACGGGAGGCAGCAGUGGGGAAUUUUGGACAAUGGGGGAAACCCUGAUCCAGCCAUCCCGCGUGUGCGAUGAAGGCCUUCGGGUUGUAAAGCACUUUUGUCAGGGAAGAAAAGGUUUUGGCUAAUAUCCGAGACUGAUGACGGUACCUGAAGAAUAAGCACCGGCUAACUACGUGCCAGCAGCCGCGGUAAUACGUAGGGUGCAAGCGUUAAUCGGAAUUACUGGGCGUAAAGCGUGCGCAGGCGGUUCGGAAAGAAAGAUGUGAAAUCCCAGGGCUCAACCUUGGAACUGCAUUUUUAACUCCCGGACUAGAGUAUGUCAGAGGGGGGUGGAAUUCACACGUGUAGCAGUGAAAUGCGUAGAUAU